CCUACGGGUGGCAGCAGUGAGGAAUAUUGGUCAAUGGACGAGAGUCUGAACCAGCCAAGUAGCGUGAAGGAUGACUGCCCUAUGUGUUGUAAACUUCUUUUAUAAAGGAAUAAAACGAGGCACGUAUGCCUUUAUGCAUGUACUUUAUGAUAAAGGAUCGGCUAACUCCGUGCCAGCAGCCGCGGUAAUACGGAGGAUCCGAGCGUUAUCCGGAUUUAUUAGGUUUAAAGGGAGCGUAGAUGGGUUGUUAAGUCAGUUGUGAAAGUUUGCGGCGCAACCGUAAAAUUGCAAUUGAUACUGGCAGUCUUGAGUACAGUUGAGGUAGGCGGAAUUCGUGGUUGAGCGGUGAACUGCUUAGAUAUCACGAAGAAUCCCGAUUGCGAAGGCAGCUUGCUAAACUGUGACUGACAUUGAUGCUCGAAAGUGUGGGUAUCAAACAGGAUUAGAUACCCUAGUAGUC
rnacentral:rRNA from 1 species